rnacentral:rRNA from 1 species
AGACAGAGGAUGCAAGCGUUAUCCGGAAUGAUUGGGCGUAAAGCGUCUGUAGGUGGCUUAAAAAGUCUUCUGUCAAAGAUCAGGGCUUAACCCUGGGCCGGCAGGAGAAACUCUUAGGCUAGAGUUUGGUAGGGGCAGAGGGAAUUCCCGGUGGAGCGGUGAAAUGCGUAGAGAUCGGGAGGAACACCAAAGGCGAAAGCACUCUGCUGGGCCACAACUGACUCUGAGAGACGAAAGCGAGGGGAGCAAAAGGGAUUAGAUACCCCUGUGGUCCUCGCCGUAAACGAUGGAUACUAGAUGUUGGAUAGGUUAAAGCAUUCAGUAUCGUAGCUAACGCGUGAAGUAUCCCGCCUGGGGAGUAUGCUCGCAGGAGUGAA